rnacentral:rRNA from 1 species
UACGUAGGUGACGAGCGUUAUCCGGAAUUACUGGGCGUAAAGCGCACGCAAGCGGUAUAACAAGUCUGGCGUGAAAUCCUCUGGCUUAACCAGGGGCGGUCGCUGGAAACUGUUAGACUUGAGGCGAUGAGAGGGGUGCAGAAUUCCCGGUGUAGUGGUGGAAUGCGUAGAUAUCGGGGGGAAUACCAGUGGCGAAAGCGGCACCCUGGCGUCGUGCUGACGCACAUGUGCGAAAGCGUGGGGAGCGAACGGG